rnacentral:tRNA from 1 species
GAUUAGAUAGUUUAUUUAGAAUAGCAGUUUGUGGUACUGUUGGUGGGUUGAUCCCUUUAAUUU